rnacentral:lncRNA from 1 species
GUUUAGUGAAUUAUCAAGCUACGUAAGCAUAUUUUCCCGCCGAAAACGGGAAGUUGAUGUUAUUAAAAGUAUGUAGUAUUUUGGAUUUGUGAAAGAUAAAUUUAUCUGGACUACCAUAUUGGGAAAAUAUCACGAUAACGUUCGAAAGAAUGGCAUCAAAAGUAGUAUCUGCAUAAAUAAAAUGCUGCUGCAUUAAGGCGACAUUAGUAACCGAUGUACAAAUAUUAUCAAUCGAUUAAAAAAAAAAGCUACAAAAAUAUUUUCAAACACCUGGCAAAGCCAUGGCAAAAAGGAAAAGAAAUACAAAAGUAUAUCAAACCCGAGCAUAGACCGAGGGUUAGUCUCGACUAGACCAGAGGGGUAGGCACAUGCUGCUCUGCAUGUUGAAAGUAAGAUCACAAAAAUAUUGAACUCCGGGG